rnacentral:misc_RNA from 1 species
GGAAUCUGAUGAACCGAUACCACGUGAGGAUCGAAGACACCGGCACCACCGAGCUGAGAGCUCAGAAUUUGACUUGCAGAGGGGGCAUUCUGACACAGAGAAGGCCGAGAACGCGGAUCCUCAGUCUAAUGGCGCCAGAAAGAGUUCGUCUUCAAAUAAAUGAGUUGAGAAGGGGCUUUCAAGGUUAGCUCAUUCUUUGUUUGGUCCACCUAUUGAUCUUGAACAUAUGAGGUUGGGUAGUUUCUCGCUCCGAAU